GCGAGUUUGGCUCAGUUGGAAGAGCGUGGGUCUCAUAAUCCCAAGGUCGUGAGUUCGAUCCUCACAACCCGCA
rfam:Blastocystis sp. NandII AV274scaffold_202, whole genome shotgun sequence.